rnacentral:rRNA from 1 species
CAUAACGUCGCAAGACCAAAGAGGGGGACCUUCGGGCCUCUUGCCAUCAGAUGUGCCCAGAUGGGAUUAGCUUGUUGGUGAGGUAACGGCUCACCAAGGCGACGAUCCCUAGCUGGUCUGAGAGGAUGACCAGCCACACUGGAACUGAGACACGGUCCAGACUCCUACGGGAGGCAGCAGUGGGGAAUAUUGCACAAUGGGCGCAAGCCUGAUGCAGCCAUGCCGCGUGUAUGAAGAAGGCCUUCGGGUUGUAAAGUACUUUCAGCGGGGAGGAAGGUGUUGUGGUUAAUAACCGCAGCAAUUGACGUUACCCGCAGAAGAAGCACCGGCUAACUCCGUGCCAGCAGCCGCGGUAAUACGGAGGGUGCAAGCGUUAAUCGGAAUUACUGGGCGUAAAGCGCACGCAGGCGGUCUGUCAAGUCGGAUGUGAAAAUCCCCGGGCUCAACCUGGGAACUGCAUUCGAAA